rnacentral:lncRNA from 1 species
CGGCUCGUGCCGUCUCCCAGGGGAGGGCUGCCCGCCCGCCAUGGCCCCCGUGGCCUGCGCCAACCGCUGCCCGCGCCGCUGCUGGGACCUGCAGGAGGGCAUCGCCUGCCAGGACGAGGAGCCCUGCGAGCCGGGCUGCCGCUGCCCCGCCGGUGAGUGCUGCAAACGCUCGCGCAGAGCUGCGUGCGCACUGCAAACGUGCAUGGAGCUGUGCGUGCGCUGCAAACGCAGUCACAUGCGGAGCUGUGCAUGCACUGCAAACUCAGUCACACGCAGAGCUGUGCAUGCAGUGAAAGUGCAUGGAGCUGUGCGUGCGCUGCAAACGCAGUCACAUGCAGAGCUGUGCAUGCACUGCAAACAUGCAUGGAGCUGUGCAUACACUGCAAACGCAGUCACAUGCAGAGCUGUGCAUGCACUGCAAACUCAGUCACCCACGGAGCUGCGCAUGCCCUGCGGAGACGCACUCCCUGCAGAGCUGUGCAGGCAUUGCAAUGCGUGCCCAGCGGGGUCCCCACCCCGCUCAGAGCCCGGGGGCAAAGCACGAUGCCGCGUCCCCCUGCAGGGACCCUGGAGCAGGAUGGCGGCUGCGUCUCCCCCGCGCACUGCGAGUGCACGGACGCGCAGGGCCACGGCUGGGCGCCGGGCAGCCAGUUCCACGACGGCUGCAACAACUGCACGUGCGCCGAGGGACGGCUGCUCUGCACCGACCGCACCUGCCCACCCCAGCAGUGCGACUGGAGCCCCUGGUCCAGCUGGUCCCAGUGCAGCGUCACCUGCGGGGACGGCCAGCAGACGCGCUUCAGGUGGGCCGCCGGCCAGGGCUGCGCCAACCCUGCCACGGGGCGGCUCGGGGCCGGGAGCCCCGCGGGGUGCCCACGCUCGCCGCCCCCUUCCCUCCCGCGCAGGGCACCCACGUCGGGCUCGGGGGCCGUCGAGUGCCGCGCGGAGCAGCAGGAGAGCCGAGGCUGCGCCGCGGGGCUCUGCCCGCCGCUGUGCCCCCACGGCGCUGGGGAGAGGCGCCUGGGCGACACGUGGCUGCAGGGCGACUGCCAGCAAUGGUCAGUGCCGGCGCGGCGCGGCGCGAAGGGGGGGCGCGGGUGGGUGCUGCAUUGCUGCGCCGGGGCAGCGGGGCCGCGGGCACCCGCCUGCCCCUCACCCG